GGCGGCGUGGCCUAAUGGUAAGGCGUUGCUUUCCGGUGGCAAAGAUUGUGGGUUCGAGUCCCAUCGCCGUCG